rnacentral:rRNA from 1 species
CCCUUAGAUGUUCUGGGCUGCACGCGUGCUACACUGAUUACUUCAACAAGUGUUUUAACUGGAGAGUUCGCGUAAUCCCGAAAUGUUAUCGUGAUGGGAGUAGAGUAUUGUAUUUGUUAAUCUUUAACGAGGAAUUCCUAGUAAGUGUAGGUUUAUAAGUUGUUCUGAUUACGUCCCUGCCCUUUGUACACACCGCCCGUCGCUCCUACCGAUUGAUUGAUCCGGUGAAUUACAUAGAAUUUUGCGUUUUACAUGACGGAAGAUGAAGUGUUUUAAACCUUAUCAUUUAGAGGAAGGAGAAGUCGUAACA